UACGUAGGGGGCAAGCGUUUGUCCGGAUUUAUUGGGCGUAAAGAGCGUGUAGGCGGCCAUGCAGGUCCGUUGUGAAAACUCGAGCUCAACCUCGAGACGCCGAUGGAAACCGCAUGGCUAGAGUCCGGAAGAGGAGAGUGGAAUUCCUGGUGUAGCGGUGAAAUGACGCAGAUAUCAGGAAGAACACCCGUGGCUAAGGCGGCUCUCUAGUACGGUACUGACGCUGAGACGCGAAAGCGUGGGAGCGAACAGG
rnacentral:rRNA from 1 species